GCGCUCUGCCAUGCUCCCCAGUACCACCGAAACUGUUAAUCAGCCUGCUCUGCAGUCUACUGCGGAGUUUGCUUUAUUAAAGCUCCCUGCUGCCUGCACACGUUCACUGGCACAGACAUCGAGAGACAAGCAAACACUUACCCAAGUGCAGAGUACUCACUGCUGCAUUGCAGAGUUUACUGGCAUAAAAUGAUGGGGCAAUAGCAGUGUUUAAAACCUCACAGCUUGCAGUUCGUGGAGGAGAAUGAUGGAAGAAGAGAUGGAAGAACUGCCAUUGCUGCUGAUUGUCACUUCAAAUCCUUGGGGAAAGUCUUCUGGAAGUGAUUGGGAACUGAUCACCUCUCUACAGACUUCUUGAGUCAUCUCAGAGAAUUUAAUAGAAAAGAAUUCUUUUGCUUCAGAUUGGUAUAAUGUGACUUAAAAGUGCUAGAAAAAAGUCUUAAUUUUCACAAUCUAAAUUAUCAAUCAGAUGGAGUAAAUUAAUCUGACUUCUGUUGCAAUUCUGUGUACCAGCUCAGUCUCUAACAACACAGCUUUUCAUAUGUUUAUUUGCACUACACAGCUUUUCCUAUGUGUAUUUGCACUUGCACUACUUUAGUAGUUCCACCUCUGGGGCUUUCACACAAAGAUAAGAGCCUUUUUUACAUUUGUUUGAGGCCUGACGUGAAAGGUUUAUCUCCAUGUAAAUUUUUCCAGGCUGGUUGUGAAACCUCUGAAAUGGAUGGUAAAGAAAGUUCUGAUGAAACUUAGCUGUAGUUGAGUACUCCAAUGCUGUAAGGGAAAAUCCCCUGAAUUGCUGUCAGUGGGUGAGCAGCCAGGCUUUCAUCACCUUCAUUCUUCACUGUAAUCUUCAUUAACAUAAGAGUUGGUAUUUUGCUCCUCACUGAUGGAUGCCAUACUGUUUGAACUCCAAGGGACUGGUGGAAUAAAGGCAUGUAUACAGGCCUCUCUGCUGA